CAAUCUCUCAACCGCCUAUCUUCUCUUUUGCCCCACCAAAGUUACGGUCACCUCUUCACAGGCCUACAAGCUCAAAAGGGUUCGCCGACCACUGUAUAUACGGUGGUCAUUGUAUCUCGUCAAAACUUAACCCGAACGAAGCCCAACUCCUUCUAAUCACCGAGAUUUUCGAGACUUCCUAACACCAUUCAUCAGCGAUCUACCCUCUUCGGCCACCACCCACGGUGGCUGAUUGAACUUUGAACCAACGUAGGACGUAACUACACCUUCUUCCCCCUCUGUUCUUAACCCAAAACGAACCCUUGAGAAUUAAAAGUCACAACAACCCUAGAAAAACUAACAACCGAUGACUCUUGGCUCUAACCGUAUCGACCCACGACUCCGACGGUACCCCGAGGAUGCUACCAGCUUACCUCUCCUGUGAAACGGUUGAAUCACGAAGUUGGAAUGUUGAAAACGAGGCUCGGCUGUUGCGAGGAGUGUACGGCUACAGCUGGAGGCAAUCUUCCUUGGAUCCAUCUAGAAGGCGGCGGCAAAGGGUUUGUGAAAUUAGGGUUUGAAACCCUAAUUUAUGAUAUGAUCAUGUUUAAUCUGGACCAUUGAUCUGAAUAGAUCCAAUGGUUGAAGUUUUCAAAUGAUGAAGACCCUUUGGUGCUAGGGUUUGUUGAUAACUCUAAGCUUGUUGGGCUGCUGUUGGGUAUAGGUAGAUUUGGUCUAAUUAAGGCCUGGUUAUUUGGUCUUAGUUGUAAUGGUAAAUGGGUUAAAUAGUAUGGCUUGUAAAAUGGACAUUUAUUUAAAACUGAUCUGGUUCAAUUGGGCAUUUAA